CGCGUAAAGAACUUGCCCUUUAGACUGGGAUAACAGAGGGAAACUUCUGAUAAUACUGGAUAAGUUAGUAUAUCGCAUGAUAUGCAAAUGAAAGCUACGGCACUAAAGGAGAGCUUUGCGUCCUAUUAGCUAGUUGGUAAGGUAAGAGCUUACCAAGGCGAUGAUAGGUAGCCGGCCUGAGAGGGUGGACGGCCACAAGGGGACUGAGAUACGGCCCUUACUCCUACGGGAGGCAGCAGCC
rnacentral:rRNA from 1 species